AAGACGGGCAAGAAAUUGCUGUGAAACGCUUGUCAAAGACGUCGAGCCAAGGAGUGAACGAGCUGAGAAAUGAACUGAUGCUGAUAGACUAACGAAUACAUGCCUAAUCAUAGCCUUGACUUAAUGUUAUUUGACAAGGAAAAGAGUAGGCUCCUUGACUGGCAAAAGCGCUUCGAUAUCAUCAACGGAAUUGCUAAAGGGCUACUCUAUCUGACUUUGGAUUAGCUAGGAGCUUCGGAGGAAACCAAACAGAAGCUCAGACACGCAGAGUUAUUGGAACAUACGGCUACAUGUCUCCGGAAUAUGCUAUAGAUGGGUUGUUUUCAGUUUUGGUGUUCUGGUGCUGGAGCUUGUUAGCGGCCACAGAAACAGAGGAUUCCCUCUUAAAGACCACAAUCUCAAUUUUCUUGGACAUGUGUGAGCUGACGUGUGUAUGCAACGUAGGAGGUGAUGCAUGCACCUAGUCAUGCUAGUAGGAUACAAAUGAAAUAAAGAGCACGAGAUAUAUCCGGAUUGGCGUGUGGAGGAAGUGUGGUUGGCAUGUGGAGGAAAUGAUAACCGAAUGAUGAGCUGGAGAUAGCAGUAUAUAAGCAUGAGGGACCACAUUUCUGAAGGCUGUCAAUUGAGUGAUUGUCGUGGGCUAGGAUCGUUGAUCCGAGGCAGUGUCUGUUACUUCAUUCCUCUGUUAUUCCUUUUGAGUGUAAUCUUUCGCUUUCAUUCUGUUCUUAUCAAUAAAGCUCAUCUUAUCGCAUCUGGGUUACG